rnacentral:rRNA from 1 species
GUUUUACCUUGACGAAUUGUAGUUUAAAGAAGUGUUUUCUGUUGAAGUUUUGGUAAAAGUUCUUUGGAAUAGGACAUCAUAGAGGGUGAGAAUCCCGUAUUUGACCAUUAUUUUCAGCUGUGUGAUACACUUUCAAAGAGUCGGAUUGUUUGGGAAUGCAGUCCAAAAUGGGUGGUAAAUUUCAUCUAAAGCUAAAUAUUGGCGAGAGACCGAUAGCGAACAAGUACCGUGAGGGAAAGAUGAAAAGAACUUUGAAAGGAGAGUUAAACAGUACGUGAAAUUGUCAAAAGGGAAGCGUUUGACACCAGUGUUGUUUUCUCGAAAAUCAAUUAAAAAAAGUUGGAUUUUGUGUUGUAUUGACCUUAACAGCUUUCUGCACUCUUUUCCUGCUUUUUUU